GAGAGAGACAUGCGCGCAUAUCAAUAAGCGGAGGAAAAGAAACUAACAAGGAUUCCCCUAGUAACGGCGAGUGAAGCGGGAAGAGCUCAAAUUUGAAAUCUUAAAGGGUUUCCCUUUACGAAUUGUAGUUUAAAGAAGUGUUUUCUGUUGAGGUUUUGGUAAAAGUUCUUUGGAAUAGGACAUCAUAGAGGGUGAGAAUCCCGUAUUUGACCAUUACUUUUCAACUGUGUGAUACACUUUCAAAGAGUCGGAUUGUUUGGGAAUGCAGUCCAAAAUGGGUGGUAAAUUUCAUCUAAAGCUAAAUAUUGGCGAGAGACCGAUAGCGAACAAGUACCGUGAGGGAAAGAUGAAAAGAACUUUGAAAAGAGAGUUAAACAGUACGUGAAAUUGUCAAAAGGGAAGCGUUUGACACCAGUGUUGUUUUUCUGAAAAUCAAUUAAAGAACUGUUUAUGCUAAGUUGUUUAGACUUUAUCAGCUAACUGUUUAGUUUUGAGCUUUUCUUUAAUGCACUUUUCAGUUAACAAGUCAACAUCAAUUUCUUUUGCUGUAAAAAAGCUUGAGGAAGGUGGCUUGAGAUUCGUCUUAAGUGUUUAUAGCCUCUUGCCUAUGCAGUCGGAGAGAUUGAGGUCUGCAGCGUAGAUCCUUCGGGGCUAAAUGCAUUUGUGCUAAGUUAUAGCAUUUUAUAGACAACUUGUUGACUAUGAUUUGUCUUGUAGCUUACUCGCUUAUGUUAUUUUACCUACGCUUAGGAUGUUGAGCGCAUGUCUCUCUCU
rnacentral:rRNA from 1 species